rnacentral:rRNA from 1 species
GACGUAGGGCGCGAGCGUUGUCCGGAUUUAUUGGGCGUAAAGAGCUCGUAGGCGGCUUGUCGCGUCGACUGUGAAAACCCGCGGCUCAACUGCGGGCUUGCAGCCGAUACGGGCAGGCUAGAGUUCGGUAGGGGAGACUGGAAUUCCGGGUGUAGUGGUGGAAUGCGUAGAGAUCCGGAGGAACACCAGCGGCGAAGGCGGCGUCCUGGACUGGUACUGACGCUCAGGAGCGAAAGCGUGGGGAGCGAUCCGG